GAACUGCACUGUUUCUCCUACUGUGUAACAUUACAAUGGCACUAGAACAACAAUGUUGUGUUGGAUGCCGUGAGAACGGGAGUUGUGACCUCUGCCGUGCUAACUAAUUACAGCACUGGUCAAACUUGUAUGAUAUGUGUGCUCUUCUACACAAGCAAAACGAGAGCAGAAGAAGAAAAAAGGAAAGGAAAAAAAAAACAUAGAACCGAUCGAGAAGCUAGCCGUAUGCACGCAUGGAAACGUACGUGUUGCAGCCUUGCAGGGGUGCAGGGGGGACGGCACCCGAGCUAGUUGUGCAGCGGAUUGGGGCCCUGUGGAACCAGCCUCUUGGACUCACCGUACACCCUCCCCUCUCCGGGGCCGGGCGGCGCCGCGCGCAUCAGCACCGUCGUACCCCCGCGCUUCGGCGUGGCCACCCCCGCCGCCGC
rnacentral:lncRNA from 1 species